rnacentral:misc_RNA from 1 species
GAUGAAGAACGUAGCGAAAUGCGAUAACUAAUGUGAAUUGCAGAAUUCAGUGAAUCAUCGAGUCUUUGAACGCACAUUGCGCCCCCUGGUAUUCCGGGGGGCAUGCCUGUCCGAGCGUCAUUGCUGCCCUCAAGCACGGCUUGGGUGUUGGGCUCCGUCCCCCCGGGGACGGGCCCGAAAGGCAGCGGCGGCACCGAGUCCGGUCCUCGAGCGUAUGGGGCUUUGUCACCCGCUCUGUAGGCCCGGCCGGCGCCAGCCGACAACCCAUCAUCCUUUUCAGGUUGACCUCGGAUCAGGUAGGAUACCCGCUGAACUUAAGCAUAUCAAUAAGCGGAGGA